rnacentral:tRNA from 1 species
CCCCGUAGCCCAGUUGGUAGAGCAUGGUGUUUGCAACGCCAGGGUUGUGGGUUCGAUUCCCACGGGGG